rnacentral:rRNA from 1 species
AACGAACGCUGGCGGCGGGCUUAACACAUGCAAGUCGAGCGCCCCGCAAGGGGAGCGGCAGACGGGUGAGUAACGCGUGGGAAUCUACCCAUCUCUACGGAAUAACUCAGGGAAACUUGUGCUAAUACCGUAUACGCCCUUUUGGGGAAAGAUUUAUCGGAGAUGGAUGAGCCCGCGUUGGAUUAGCUAGUUGGUGGGGU